rnacentral:SRP_RNA from 1 species
UCGUGCUAGACGGGGAGCUGGCGGUGCCCUGUACCCGCAAUCCGCCAUAGCGGGGUCGAAUUCCCCCCCGAGGGUUUACUUGCUCGAAACUGCUGGCACCGAAAAGCGUUGAAAGAUGGGUCCUGCACGGCGGAAGCCUCCAAACCCCGCCAGGUCCGGGAGGAAGCAACGGUAAGGAGAUCCUUCUGGGUGUUGCAGGGUAGCCUGCCUGGAGCUGGACGGUGUGGGUAAGCCGGGUAGUGUGACUCGACGGGGGGUGCACGA